GAAAUGCGAUAAGUAAUGUGAAUUACAGAAUUCCGUGAAUCAUCGAAUCUUUGAACGCACAUUGCGCCCUCUGGCAUUCCGGGGGGCAUGCCUGUCCGAGCGUCAUUACGCACCCUCAAGCCCGGCUUGUGUGAUGGGCCCCGGCGUCUCGUUCGCGAGACGGGCCCGAAAGGCAGCGGCGGCGUCGACCCGAUGAGCCCGAGCGUAUGGGGACUUCUGUCACACGUUCGCGGUGCGGACCGGCGCCUGCUUUGACUUUUCUGAUUAUCCAGGUUGACCUCGGAUCAGGUAGGGAUACCCGCUGAACUUAAGC
rnacentral:misc_RNA from 1 species